CAUGGAGAAGCUGGGUGCUAAAGCGGGAGCAGGCUGGGGCUGGGCUUGGCGCCGGGAGUCCGGCGCGGGUCCGGCUCCUCGCAGCCCCAAAACAGAAGGUGGAACAGUAAGUGGAACCGCAAGUCUGUGAUCGCUAGCGGCCCUGAGAGCGGAGGGGACGCACCAGAGUCUGGGGCAUGUGGCCCCGCCUUUGGCAGGAGGGGCCAGGAGAACAGCCCAGGGUCACCCCCAAGAGACGGGACGAGACCCAGGAGUCCUGGAACCCGGAGCAUAGCGCAGCGCUCGAAGGGAGGCGGGGUCGGCAGAAACCUCAGGAAGCUUCACUCAGAAGCGCAAACUUUCCACUGAGUGACCGCACUCCGCUCCCUGAGGACCCACCCAGAGAAGAUUUAGGGGUGGGGAAGGUGGUUGCUCCUGCUGGGGGAAUUUGUUUCUGUAGUGUGUCUCUCGGGUGAGAAAUGACUUGGACUCUCUCCCUGGAGCUCCGAUGCCCUGCUCCCCUUCCUGUCAUAUAACUCCCCAUAGAGACCCUCAGCUCUCUCAACCCUUGGCCCCAGAGGGGCCAUCACCGCAGGUUUUUAUAGCCCUUCCCCCAAGCUGCGGCCAGAGUCUCCGCCCUCCUUCCCCCCCAACCUCCCGGUGACGCCCGAGCUCCGCUGUGCCUGAGGGCAAUGAAUGCCGAGGGAUUUGGGCUUGGUCCCCCACCUCCUCAUCGCUUCUUGCUACUCUGCAGGUCCUCUCCUAGUGGAGAAAGGAAGAAUCCCAGGCUAACUGCAGAGCUAGGGAACUGUCUCCACUUGGACGGAGCCCCCUCCCGUAAGCUAUAGCAAGAAAUUCAACUCGAAGACUACACGGGGAGACAAAUACCCAAUUUUAGACUACGAAAGACAAGGACCCAGAGACAGAAGGCCUCUGGACGCGCCCCAUGCGGCUUUCGAUUCUCCCGGAGUUUCGGUCCCUUGUUUAGGGGACGGAAGGGAAUUUCUUGGCCCAGCUCAGUCUCCAAAGACCCCACCUGCGGGUCGAUUUUGUCCCUGCACCCGUAGCUCCGCUGCCCUAAUUCGGACCAGCGGUGCCUAGCACCGGGGCAGGUGCACUAAGAGGGAGGAGCUAGAAGUGCGCCUAGAGUUCUGAGGUAUGGGGAAGACAAUCUAAGCGUCUGGGCUUCCAGCUCUGGGUGACCUCCAAUCGCGGAGGGUUGACAAAUAGUUUGAACGAAACAUUUUUAGUACAGUAAGGUCAGACCUCUGCUAUUUUGACCUCACUGUAGGGCCAGGGCUGAUCUCGCCCUUCCCACCCGAGGGUGCCUCUUCUCCUUCCCAAAUCUCUCCCGGGCAUCAGAAAGAGGGCGGGCAAUAGUUUUCCCGCCGCUUCCGAGAAGAGCUUUCCCCAGGUCUCAAUUGGACGCACGCGAUUCUUCCUACCCAGCCCAGCACCACCACACCCGCUUGAGUGGGAGGGGGCCCAGUGCCCUCCCUUUCUGCAACACCGCCUAGGCAAGUACGGGCACUAAGGAGUUAACUUGGUAAACCGACGCGGGGAAAGCUCAACUUCCGUCUAUCAGUCCUCUGUCUGUCAGUCAAAGGGGGCGGAGUCAACGGCCGAAGGUCUUAACGGGACCCUGUGUGUCCAUCUUGGGGAAACUGAAGCACUAUCUCUGAUAGUCCGGAAAAAAAGAAAAGAAAAGAUCCUCCCCUACGGGGCUGUCGGGUUCCAAGGAUCAUUUCUUCGCUGCUAGGGUGGGCAGACAGGACUCUAUUGGUCUACUGGGGAGAGGAGAAGGAGCCUUCAGGCUCCGGAGAAAAGCACGACCUUUCCCAAGAAGUAAACGGGGAGCGCACCCCCACCACCACUGCUCCGAGGCCACCGAAUGUCCCCACCCCCACCCUACCCCCUGCAGCGCCUAAUUCUGGAGAGGCCGUGACUCACUCCCCGCCGCCCCCUGCGCCCUGCGGAGCUGAGCCAAGUCAAGCGGAGCCGAGUAGGGUUGCAGCCAUGGUCUUCAAGUCCUCAGCCCCCCAGCCCCAGGAUCCCCUACCAGCCCUACCGCGGGUUUCGGACCUACAUUAUCUAUACUACUUCCCCCGUCCCAGUCCAAUCUCUACUGCGCGUUCCUCCCUCCCUCUGGAAGCAGUGGAAUAGUCUGUACCAUCCCCCCAACCCGUACUCCCGCCCCCCCCCUCCAGCGCUUUUAUAAAAAGAGCUGCCAAUCUUGCUGCUGCCGGAGACCGAUUUCAUCCCCCACAAAGCUCUUCUAGUUCCCAACCCUUCCCUUCCUAUCUUCUCCCCUCUCUUCCCCCCUCCAAAUAAGGCCUGGGCCCCCUCUAACAAAAAGGGAUCGAGGUGGUGGGCUCUCAAGCUUAUGAAGAAAGGACCAAAAUGUGGGGACCGCGAGGUAGAGCCAGAAUCUGUUCCCAAUCCCUACUCCUCCCAUACUGCUCCUCACACAGGGACAGAACUCCACAUGGUAACCCUUCAGAAGGGAUAGAGUCUCCCCCGACCAGAGGACAAAAGAACUGGUGACAAGAUGUCCUGAAACUGAGGCUUCCUAAUUCAUGUCCCUGCCCCAUAGAAUUGUCUGGAUUUGGGGGUCUGAGGUUAAGCCUUGGUAGUGUCAAUAAAUGAGGCAUAAUGUGGAAAAGAGAGUGCCCCCUUUCUGGGAUCUAUUGGUGGCAGGGAGGGAAGAAAAAUAGAUACUGGAGUUUGCAGAGGAACUGGGAGGUCCUUACAGGUGAGACAUA